rnacentral:rRNA from 1 species
UACGGAGGGUGCAAGCGUUAUCCGGAUUCACUGGGUUUAAAAGGGUGCGUAGGUGGGCAGGUAAGUCAGUGGUGAAAUCUCCGAGCUUAACUCGGAACUCCGUUGAUACUAUUUGUCUUGAAUAUUGUGGAGGUAAGCGGAAUAUGUCAUGUAGCGGUGAAAUGCUUAGAUAUGACAUAGAACACCAAUUGCGAAGGCAGCUUACUAAAAGUAUGAUUGACGCUGAGGCACGAAAGCGUGGGGAUCAAACAGG